rnacentral:ncRNA from 14 species
ACAACGGCUCUUUUAAGAGCCACACACUUAAUCUGAAAGAGCAAA